rnacentral:rRNA from 1 species
ACGCCGUAAACGAUGAAUGCUAGGUGUUGGGAGUCAAAUNUCGGUGCCGAAGUUAACACAUUAAGCAUUCCGCCUGGGGAGUACGGUGGCAACACUGAAACUCAAAGGAAUUGACGGGGACCCGCACAAGCAGCGGAGCAUGUGGUUUAAUUCGAAGCAACGCGAAGAACCUUACCAAGGCUUGACAUAUAGUUGAGUUAUUGAGAAAUUGAUAAGUCCCUCGGGACAACUAUACAGGUGGUGCAUGGUUGUCGUCAGCUCGUGUCGUGAGAUGUUGGGUUAAGUCCCGCAACGAGCGCAACCCUUAUCUUCAGUUACCAGCAUGUAAUGAUGGGGACUCUGGAGAGACUGCCGAUGACAAAUCGGAGGAAGGUGGGGAUGACGUCAAAUCAUCAUGCCCUUUAUGUCUUGGGCUACACACGUGCUACAAUGGUUGGUACAACGAGAAGCUAGACAGUGAUGUUAAGCAAAACUCUAAAAACCAAUCACAGUUCGGAUUGUAGGCUGCAACUCGCCUACAUGAAGUCGGAGUUGCUAGUAAUCGCGAAUCAGAAUGUCGCGGUGAAUGCGUUCCCGGGUCUUGUACACACCGCCCGUCACACCAUGGGAGUUGGCAAUACCCGAAGCC